UACGUAGGUGGCAAGCGUUGUCCGGAAUUAUUGGGCGUAAAGCGCGCGCAGGCGGUCCUUUAAGUCUGAUGUGAAAGCCCACGGCUCAACCGUGGAGGGUCAUUGGAAACUGGGGGACUUGAGUGCAGAAGAGGAAAGCGGAAUUCCACGUGUAGCGGUGGAAAUGCGUAGAGAUGUGGAGGAACACCAGUGGCGAAGGCGGCUUUCUGGUCUGUAACUGACGCUGAGGCGCGAAAGUGUGGGGAGCAAACAGG
rnacentral:rRNA from 1 species